rnacentral:rRNA from 1 species
CCAAUAGCGUAUAUUAAAGUUGUUGCAGUUAAAAAGCUCGUAGUUGAACUUCGGGAUUUACCCAUUGGUCAGGCUUAAUUGUCUGUACUGGUGAGAUAAAUCUCUACCUUCUGAGGAACUUUCAUGUCAUUAAUUUGGUGUGAUUGGAAAUCAGGACUGUUACUUUGAAAAAAUUAGAGUGUUUAAAGCAGGCUAACGUCUGAAUACAUUAGCAUGGAAU